rnacentral:snoRNA from 1 species
CUACCAAAAGUUAGCUUUUUGGGGGGAAGGUUUUUAAGUAACCUUUGCCAGCUUGGGCUAUUUGGAAGAGUAAAAGGACCACACUCCACAGUGGGCUAUACCACUUAGUAUAGUUCGCUACUAUUUUGUGGCCUACAUGA